UACGAAGGGGGCUAGCGUUGCUCGGAGUUACUGGGCGUAAAGGGAGCGUAGGCGGACAGUUUAGUCAGUGGUGAAAGCCCAGGGCUCAACCUUGGAAUUGCCAUUGAUACUGAUUGUCUUGAGUAUGGGAGAGGUGUGCGGAACUCCGAGUGUAGAGGUGAAAUUCGUAGAUAUUCGGAAGAACACCAGUGGCGAAGGCGGCACACUGGCCCAUUACUGACGCUGAGGCUCGAAAGCGUGGGGAGCAAACAGG
rnacentral:rRNA from 1 species